rnacentral:rRNA from 1 species
UCUGGUUGAUCCUGCCAGAGGUCACUGCUAUCGGGGUUCGAUUAAGCCAUGCGAGUCGAGAGGGUUCGGCCCUCGGCGUACUGCUCAGUAACACGUGGAUAACCUGCCCUAGGGAAGGGGAUAAUCCCCGGGAAACUGGGGAUAAUACCCUAUAGGUUACAGAUGCUGGAAUGCUCUGUAACCCAAAGUUCCGGCGCCCUAGGAUGGAUCUGCGGCCGAUUAGGUUGUUGUUGGGGGUAAUGGCCCAACAAGCCAGUAAUCGGUACGGGUUGUGGGAGCAAGAGCCCGGAGUUGGAUUCUGAGACACGAAUCCAGGCCCUACGGGCGGGCAGCAGGCGCGAAAACUUUACAAUGCGGGCAACCGUGAUAAGGGAACCUCGAGUGCCUGUAAAUGCAGGCUGUUCAGAUGCCUAAAACACAUCUGGAGAAAGGGCCGGGCAAGACCGGUGCCAGCCGCCGCGGUAAUACCGGCGGCUCGAGUGGUGGCCACUUUUAUUGGGCUUAAAGCGUUCGUAGCUGGGUUGUUAAGUCUCUUGGGAAAUCUGGCGGCU